rnacentral:lncRNA from 1 species
CAAAAACUGGAUUGGCUGUGACUUUUGAAAGAAGGGGUGCACAUUAGACAUGCUCCAUAUUUAUCCAGCUUUUCCCCUAAGGGAAAUAUUUUCCAAUUCUGGGAAUAGAGCCUAAGCAGAAAGUUAACAGUCAUACUGAAUUUAGGAGACAGAGUUCAGGAUUCAUGGCUCCAAUAAGUGACUGGAAAUUAAUCCUGGACAGGAAGGAACCACAAAGCAUGAACCUCCAAUUCUACACACCAAUGAUCCUGAAAUCGUUGGUGUAUAGCUCAACGGCUGUGUAGACUGGCCCUCCAAGAAAUCUAGUGGGAAGCAGCAGAGGCAGACUGAAUUACUAAUGGAUUUCAGCAGCUACGCUAUCCUUGCAAAGUCUGAUGAGUCAGAGGGGUUUGGAAACACCUCUAUUUGUGAAUUAGUGGACUCACAGACAAGUCAUCAGAAAAUAUUCAAACUAAAGCACAAAAAGAGAAGAAAGAAAAGAUGGAACAGAGCACAAGAAAUACAUGCGAUGUAGUCAACUGGUUUACCAUAUAUAUAACAGCAAUUCCCAGAAUCCAAGGAGAGACUGAAUGGGGCAGAAACAGUACUUGGACGAAGACAGAGAAUUCUCCCAACCCGACUCAAGUAUUAGGCUAUGGAUUCAAGACCCUCAAUGAAGCCAAAGCAGCACAAACACCAUUAAAACACAUCUAAGUCAUGACAGACAUUUGAAUUAAGUUCUUUAUUUUAUUACUAUGAAAGCAACUGUGAACUUUCUCUUACACACGUAUUUCUACACAGCUCCCACUUUACAAAGCACUAGUAUGUACAGUCGAGGAGGAAGACCUUCCUCUGCCCUGUGGUCCUUCUAUCUGGACUUAGGAUCAAACCAACAUGAAGCAGCUGUAGCAUGAAAAUAAAUUGUCUUGAUGGAAAAACAAAGCCUAUCAAACUUCAUGUUUUGCAUAUCGGAAACAAAAGGCAUAAUAGUUCCGGUUUGGCAAGAAUCUAUAAUGACCCACAUGGCACUCAAGAAAUACUCAGGAGAAAAAAUUUCCAUCUGAGGGAGGAAGAAGCCUUGGAAAUCACUAAAUUCUACCCCCUUGGGGCAUGGACAUACACUUGUCUUCUAAAAAAUAAAUCAAUAACACCCAGAGGAAGAAAAGUUUUAUUUUUUUAAAAAGCACUCAAAAAUUUAAUAUGUCUGACUGUGAAAGGAGAGUUCUGGAAGUUACUUAUAUGCCUUCUUUUUAAAAACUUUUAGAUUAAAAAAAUGAACUUUUAAUCCAAUCACUUGUUCUUAAAUUUGUGAAUACUAUUUUGAUACACUCUUUACUCCAGUCAUCACUCUCAGAAACCCUGAGAUAAGUCAAGAUUACCAAAAGGACACUUUAUUUCCAGAAGUAACCCCAGA